rnacentral:lncRNA from 1 species
AGCACCCGGCUCCGGCUUCAACUUAAUUAAUACUGGCUUAUCUAUUUAUAGCUAAUUAUAUAGAAUCCUACUCUGAUUCGAUUUCAUCUUAAUCAUAAUUUAAAUAACCGAAUAUAUCUUAACCAUAACCGAAUAUAAUAAUGGAUAAGAUCAAAUAAUAUAAUCCUAAUCUCAUUUGCAUUAUCUCUAACACUCUCUAAUGUUCUUCACACCGAUCUUCUCUCGGCAAAAUAUGAAUUUCUCCAAUGUUAGCGACUUUAUGAAAAUAUCAGCUAUCUGCUCCUCGGUAGCGCAGUGUAUCAACUCGAACCAUUCUCAUACUUUUUCGAUCAUCAAUUGAACAUGUCCAAUCACUAUUAAAACAACCAAAAUAAAAAUCGUUAGGGUUAGUAUACCACAACCAGUGGUCUCUAGCUUGUUCUUUUCAAAUAUCUCAAUAUCCUCUUCGCCUUAUAUAUCCACUUAAAUCCAAUAACUUCUUUAUCUAUGGGCGAUUCAACAAACUCGGAGAUAUUAUUUUUUCUUAAUGCCAUAUUUUUUUUAUUCGUAGCCUUACACCAAUCAUUAGAUUUUCUCGCCUUUUCGAAAUUUUAUGAUUCUCCACAUUGUGAAUACAUGCACUAUUCGUAGAUUUCACUAAGUGAUCUUACUUUUCUUGGCGUCGUCUCUGGAGAAGUUUCUGGUGAACUCUGUGGUGAAGUUCGUGGUGUUGCUUUCGU